rnacentral:sRNA from 12 species
UAACUCCGUGUAUGGGUAGAACAGCCGAAAGGCUCUCUGACGCUUGCUGUUUUGCGUGGUUAGCCCUUAGCACGGAGUUGCU